GUUGUUGCAGUUAAAAAGCUCGUAGUUGAAUUUCGGGAUCAAAGGAUUGGUCAUGCUUUGGUAUGUACUGGUUUUAUUGGUUCUCACCUUCUAAAGAACCAUAAUGUCAUUUAUUUGAUGUUAUGGGGAAUUAGGACUGUUACCUUGAAAAAAUUAGAGUGUUUAAAGCAAGCUUACGCUUGAAUACAUUAGCAUGAAAUAAUGAAAUAGGACAUCCGAUUCUAUUUUGUUGGUUUCUAGGAUCGAUGUAAUGAUUAAUAGGGAUAGUUGGGGGCAUUAGUAUUCAAUUGUCAGAGGUGAAAUUCUUGGAUUUAUUGAAGACUAACUACUGCGAAAGCAUUUGCCAAGGAUGUUUUCAUUAAUCAAGAACGAAAGUUAGGGGAUCGAAGACGAUCAGAUACCGUCGUAGUCUUAACCAUAAACUAUGCCGACUAGGGAUCGGAUGAUGUUUAUUUUUUAGUGACUCAUUCGGCGCCUUACGGGAAAC
rnacentral:rRNA from 1 species